UACAGAAGGCAGUCGCUGCCUUUUUAGGUAGAGGAAAGUCCAUGCUCGCACCAUCUGCGAUGAUGGUAGUGUUUGUGCUGAUCGAAUCAAUAAGGUCAGGUAUCUUCGGAUAACGGCGGAGCAAUAUAGUCUAAGGAUUUAUCUAUGACUUGAGCCCUUAAGGUGUCACAGUGACGUAGUUCUUUUUGAAAGAAAAGAAGUGGAACGAGAUAAACCCCACAAGCGAGAAACCCAAAUUUGGUAGGGGAAUUUUCAACUUUGAAUUGAAAAAGAAGGAAGGUAGAAAUACAGAUAAAUGGCUGCACUGGCAACAGGACAGAACAUGGCUUAUGCAU
rnacentral:RNase_P_RNA from 1 species